UUUUUGUAAAUAAUUUAAAGUCUAGUCUGCCCACUGAAAAAUUUAAAGGGCUGCAGUAUUUUGACUGUACAAAGGUAGCAUAAUCAUUUGUCUCUUAAUUGGUGACUUGUAUGAAAGAUUGGAUGAAAUAUAUACUGUUUCAUUAUAAUUAAUAAAAUUUAAUUUUUUAGUUAAAAAGCUAAGAUGAUUUUAAAAGACGAGAAGACCCUAUAGAGUUUGAUAAUUAUUAUUAUAUUAGGGUAAUGUAAAAUUUUAAAUUAAAAUAAUGAUAAUUAUUUUGUUGGGGUGACAAAAAAAUAAAAUAAACUUUUUUUAAAUAAUUUACAUAUAUAAAUGAAUAAAUGAUCCAUUUUUAAUGAUUAAAAGAAAAAAUUACCUUAGGGAUAACAGCGUAAUUUUUUUUUUUAGGCCUAAUAAGAAAAAGAGUUUGCGACCUCGAUGUUGGAUUAAGAUAAAAUUUAAAUGCAAAAGUUUAAAAUUUUGAUCUGUUCGAUCAUUAAAA
rnacentral:rRNA from 1 species